UACAGAGGGUGCAAGCGUUAAUCGGAAUUACUGGGCGUAAAGCGUGCGUAGACGGUUAUGUAAGUCGGGUGUGAAAGCCCCGGGCUCAACCUGGGAAUGCCAUUCGAGACUGCAUAGCUAGGGUGCGGAAGAGGGAAGCGGAAUUUCCGGUGUAGCGGUGAAAUGCGUAGAUAUCGGAAGGAACACCAGUGGCGAAAGCGGCUUCCUGGUCCAGCACCGACGUUCAGGCACGAAGCGUGGGGAGCAAACAGG
rnacentral:rRNA from 1 species